UCGGGAAUUUUGGGCAAUGGGCGAAAGCCUGACCCAGCAACGCCGCGUGAAGGAUGAAGUAUUUCGGUAUGUAAACUUCGAAAGAAUAGGAAGAAUAAAUGACGGUACUAUUUAUAAGGUCCGGCUAACUACGUGCCAGCAGCCGCGGUAAUACGUAGGGACCAAGCGUUGUUCGGAUUUACUGGGCGUAAAGGGCGCGUAGGCGGCAAUUCAAGUCAUCUGUGAAAUCUCUGGGCUUAACUCGGAACGGUCAGAUGAUACUGCUUUGCUAGAGUGCAGAAGGGGCAAUCGGAAUUCUUGGUGUAGCGGUGAAAUGCGUAGAUAUCAAGAGGAACACCUGAGGUGAAGACGGGUUGCUGGGCUGACACUGACGCUGAGGCGCGAAAGCCAGGGGAGCAAACGGGAUUAGAUACCCCCGUAGUCCCUGAGCGGGCUGGCAAGGCGCAU
rnacentral:rRNA from 1 species